rnacentral:lncRNA from 10 species
ACACAGCUGCUGCGACUCCUGUGUCCCUGGUUUCAACCUUGAACUGGGGCCCGGUGCCUGGAGAUGCAGGGGAGGGCUCAGACCGUGAGCAACUCCAGCCCACUGCAGUGGGUGGACUAGAACAUUAUCCAGCCUCUGCACCAGUCCUGGACUGCUCACCCUGACUUCUACAAGAAAAAGAAAUCCCUUUUUGUUAAGUCACAGAACGUUCCAUCUGCUCUCUCUCAGCACCACUUUGCAGCUAAUCAAGAAGACGCAAGCAGACAUCCACUGGGGGUGGGGAGGAGUUCCGAGAGUGCUGAGCCUUCCGGAUUAAAGGGACAUACGCUGCUGCCCGAAUCCCAAAUGCAGCGUGAUGCCACUACCGCAGCCCAGCUGCAGCCUUGAGGAAGAGGGUGCAGGAGCUACAGAGGCUGUCCUUGACAUGAUUCAGCCUUCAAAGCAGGAUUAACUGCUGCUGCCUCCAGACCUUCCUGUUUUGUGAGAAAAACAAAUCCCAAUGUGUUUAAGCCUCCAUGAGUCAGGUUCUCAUUUACAUGUAGCCGAAAGCAUUUCUGAAGGGUGCAAACACACUCGAAAGAUAAGAUUCUACCCCAUCAGCAAAAACCAUUAGGUGAAGUUGAUGAACAUUUUUCAGUCAACACUGGUUUCAUGUUAACAGCUUAGUGAUCUUCCCAGGGGGUGAGAUUUGGGGUGCACUGAGGAGGCCUCCCUACCUAAAAUAAUUCCAGCAGUCCUGUUAUUGAUGCCUGAACUUCUACAUGCAGAGCCACACGCAAUCUGCGUGGUAUGCACACACAUGCACACACAGCUGUUAGGAGGGGCCUGAACAACCAGGAGUGUAGACGGCAGCGCAGGAGCUUGGGACAGAAAGCCAGGCUGUGGUUUCAUGCAUUGCAGAUCCUAUAUCCCAGAAGCCAUUUCUUUUUCUUUUUCUUUUUCUCUUUCUUGUUUUGUUUUGUUUUUUGAGACAGAGUCUUGUUCUGUCACCCAGGCUGGAGUGUAAUGGCGCGAUCUCGGCUCACUGCAACCUUCACCUCCCUGGUUCAAGUGACUCUCCAGCCUCAGCCUCCCGAGUAGCUGGG